rnacentral:lncRNA from 1 species
UUUUCAAUCUUUUCAGAUAAAUAUAUCUUUGUGGAAACAACUUAUAUAUACUUCAACUGUUUAUUAGUUAUAUAAAGUUGUGGGGUCUUUUUUUCAUUUAUGCUGUGAAAUGAUGGUCGAACCGUAUGCUGAUCAACUUCAGCAGUCAGGUCAGGUCGAAGUGGGGGUUGGAAAAGGUGGUAAUGGAUUUUACCACUCUUUUGUUGUUGGCAUAACCGUCUUUCUAUCGGUGUAUAAAGUGUGGUUCUCAUGUAAUGACCUCGGUUACAAACGGUGGCAUUGAUCAUCUUAGUUCGAUACUUUUGUAUUUUCUCAUGUAUCGGUGAAUUUGUAUUUGGUGCAUUAGCCACGAGUGGUCACUAAGAAAUGUUUGGACCCACUCACUAUAAAUUUCAGGACCUAAUUAUCAAGUAAUAUGGCGUUUCUUUUUUUUUUGUCAAUUUAUUACUGGGCCACAACGGGCCGGCCCAGUUGGCCCAUCAACCUUACCACAGGAAGCGCAGGUCGAACCCGAAAUGUCUGGGAGAUUGACGUGGUACGCAGACCACCUGUCCUAAA